AAGGCCACAGAUGGGCUCAUUUCAUAUGUUGAUGCUGUAAGGGUGAACUCCAAGGUAUAAGUGGUUAUGGUGGAUGGAGACUAGGAUUUGAUAGUGCAUCACAAGAUGUGUUGGUGCUAACAAGCGACACCAAGUGUUAGACCACAAACACACAGAUCUGUUAUAGCAUUUCCCUUAGAAGUACUCCCCCAAGGUUUAUCAACCCGUGGAAACAAGCACAUCAAGAUUACUUAACU
rnacentral:lncRNA from 1 species